AAGUCGUAACAAGGUUUCCGUAGGUGAACCUGCGGAAGGAUCAUUACUGGAAAUAAUUCAAGGUUGUUUUAGCUGGCCUUCCGGGGCAUGUGCUCACCUUGUUUUUCAAAUCCACCUUUUUCACACCUGUGCACAUAUUGUAGUCUUAUUAUUGGGGAUAAAAAAAAGGGAUUCAUUCCCCCCUAACCCUUUAGUAUUCUACGUAUUUUUCCACACAUACACAAAGUUUUAUGAAUGUCAUUAUUUGUGAUAAACACACAUCUAAAACAACUUUCAACAACGGAUCUCUUGGCUCUC
rnacentral:misc_RNA from 1 species